CUUCAUCACUCGUUUGGAUUCUUUGCUCGCCUUUACGGUAAUUAGAAAAUUAUUAUAACGCGAUUGAAAAUUGUCUGUGACACGUUGGUUGGAUGUGUGCAUUCGAAUCCAUCGACAUAUUCAGUGGAAUACUCUACAACGUGGAGCCCAACGUCUCCUGGGGGCGAACUCAAGAUGGAGAUCGGGAGAUUCUGUGCUCAGACGAAGACGGACGAAAAAGCUGAUUUUUAAUUGAGGAUAGUGGAAGCUUGGAACAAAUUCAGAGGUGUUUGACAAAAUUUAAUAACAAUUUUGUAAAUUUUUAAAUAUGUAUUCUGCAAGACAAAUGGGAUACAGAGGAAGAGCUGAGGGUGUAAUUGCCAUGAGACACAGUCGUAAAAUGUCACGAUAUUAAUUAAUCGUGUUAGUUAGCCUUUUUCGCAAAUGAAAAAUCGAUCGAUUCAUAAACACUGAAAUGCUGGCGCCGCGUAGCGGUGAUUCAGUCGAACUAAAAUCUAUUUCUGUCCUUGUCACCUGCAAAAUUAUUAAUUAAUUAUUAAUUUAACGAUAAUAUAAUACGUCGGUUAUGACACCAGUCAUGUAAGAUAGGCAUAAAUAUUAUAAAAAUUUCAACAUCCCUAUAACAUGUGCAAUUGUUAAAUGGUUUUAAUAAAUACACAGUUAAAGUUAA